UACGUAGGUGGCGAGCGUUGUCCGGAAUUACUGGGUGUAAAGGGAGCGUAGGCGGGAGAGCAAGUCGACUGUGAAAUCUAUGGGCUUAACCCUUAGCUGCGAUCGAAACUGUUCAUCUUGAGUGAAGUAGAGGCAGGCGGAAUUCCUAGUGUAGCGGUGAGAUGCGUAAAUAUUAGGAGGAACACCAGUGGCGAAGGCGGCCUGCUGGGCUUUAACUGACGCUGAGGCUCGAAAGCGUGGGUAGCAAACAGG
rnacentral:rRNA from 1 species